AUGGCGUGGGGCGGCGAGGGGAGGGACUGGGCCGCGGCGGACUCGGCGGCGGAGGGAGGAGCGCGGCUGCGGGCGGGCGGCGAGCGAGGCGCUCAAAGUCAGCCUCGCAGACAUUGCAGCAGAGCCCCGAACUCGGGAGGCGGCGGCGGAGGAGGUGGAGGAGGCGCGGCGAGGCGCAGGGACGACCCGGCCCCACGCCCGCCCGCCACCCGCGCGCGCCCGUCCGCCCGUGGCCUCGCGUCCGCCGCUGCGCAGGGAGCGCCGCUGGUCGGAGGGAAGAGCUCGCCGGGGCGCCGGGCCAGGACGGGGCGGCGGGCGCCUUCGCGGACCGAGCCUGACGGAGCCGGAGGCUGGGAGCCGCGGCGGCCUCGGAACACUGAUAUUUGCAUUUAAUGGGGAAUAAAAGAUGAAGAAGGAAAAAGAAUAUAUUCA
rnacentral:lncRNA from 13 species